rnacentral:rRNA from 1 species
AUUCCAGCUCCAGUAGCGUAUAUUAAAGUUGUUGCAGUUAAAAAGCUCGUAGUUGGAUUUCUGACUUCAAACACCUGACCCUCCCUCGCUAGAGGUGUGUGUGCCGGAGUGUUUGUAUCAUCCUUUCAGUGAUCGGUUCUACCCUUAACCGGGUCGGAACUGUUAACUGGAUCUUUUACUUUGAAGAAAUUGGAGUGUUUAAAGCAGGCUUACGCCAGAACAUAUUAGCAUGGAAUAAUAAUUUAGGACUUUUGUUCUAUUUUGUUGGUUUCUAGGACGAAAGUAAUGAUUGAUAGGGAUAGUUGGGGGUGCUAGUAUUCGGCGGCCAGAGGUGAAAUUCUUUGAUCCGCUGAAGACUAACUUAUGCGAAAGCAUUCACCAAGGAUGUCUUCAUCCA